rnacentral:rRNA from 1 species
UUCGGAAUUACUGGGCGUAAAGAGAGUGUAGGCGGUCUGACAAGUCGGGCGUGAAAGCCCUGGGCUCAACCCAGGAAGUGCACUCGAAACUGGCAGGCUAGAGUACUGGAGAGGUUGGUGGAAUUCUCGGUGUAGAGGUGAAAUUCGUAGAUAUCGAGAGGAACACCGGUGGCGAAGGCGGCCAACUGGACAGAUACUGACGCUGAGACUCGAAAGCGUGGGGAGCAAACAGG